CAGCUCAGUGACAGAGUGUCUGCUUUGCAAGCAGAAGGUCCCUGGUUCAAUCCUCACCAUUUCCAGAUAAA